CUUAACACAUGCAAGUCGAACGCUUCUUUUUCCACCGGAGCUUGCUCCACCGGAAAAAGAGGAGUGGCGAACGGGUGAGUAACACGUGGGUAACCUGCCCAUCAGAAGGGGAUAACACUUGGAAACAGGUGCUAAUACCGUAUAACAAUCGAAACCGCAUGGUUUUGAUUUGAAAGGCGCUUUCGGGUGUCGCUGAUGGAUGGACCCGCGGUGCAUUAGCUAGUUGGUGAGGUAACGGCUCACCAAGGCGACGAUGCAUAGCCGACCUGAGAGGGUGAUCGGCCACAUUGGGACUGAGACACGGCCCAAACUCCUACGGGAGGCAGCAGUAGGGAAUCUUCGGCAAUGGACGAAAGUCUGACCGAGCAACGCCGCGUGAGUGAAGAAGGUUUUCGGAUCGUAAAACUCUGUUGUUAGAGAAGAACAAGGAUGAGAGUAACUGUUCAUCCCUUGACGGUAUCUAACCAGAAAGCCACGGCUAACUACGUGCCAGCAGCCGCGGUAAUACGUAGGUGGCAAGCGUUGUCCGGAUUUAUUGGGCGUAAAGCGAGCGCAGGCGGUUUCUUAAGUCUGAUGUGAAAGCCCCCGGCUCAACCGGGGAGGGUCAUUGGAAACUGGGAGACUUGAGUGCAGAANAGGAGAGUGGAAUUCCAUGUGUAGCGGUGAAAUGCGUAGAUAUAUGGAGGAACACCAGUGGCGAAGGCGGCUCUCUGGUCUGUAACUGACGCUGAGGCUCGAAAGCGUGGGGAGCAAACAGGAUUAGAUACCCUGGUAGUCCACGCCGUAAACGAUGAGUGCUAAGUGUUGGAGGGUUUCCGCCCUUCAGUGCUGCAGCUAACGCAUUAAGCACUCCGCCUGGGGAGUACGACCGCAAGGUUGAAACUCAAAGGAAUUGACGGGGGCCCGCACAAGCGGUGGAGCAUGUGGUUUAAUUCGAAGCAACGCGAAGAACCUUACCAGGUCUUGACAUCCUUUGACCACUCUAGAGAUAGAGCUUCCCCUUCGGGGGCAAAGUGACAGGUGGUGCAUGGUUGUCGUCAGCUCGUGUCGUGAGAUGUUGGGUUAAGUCCCGCAACGAGCGCAACCCUUAUUGUUAGUUGCCAUCAUUUAGUUGGGCACUCUAGCAAGACUGCCGGUGACAAACCGGAGGAAGGUGGGGAUGACGUCAAAUCAUCAUGCCCCUUAUGACCUGGGCUACACACGUGCUACAAUGGGAAGUACAACGAGUCGCAAAGUCGCGAGGCUAAGCUAAUCUCUUAAAGCUUCUCUCAGUUCGGAUUGUAGGCUGCAACUCGCCUACAUGAAGCCGGAAUCGCUAGUAAUCGCGGAUCAGCACGCCGCGGUGAAUACGUUCCCGGGCCUUGUACACACCGCCCGUCACACCACGAGAGUUUGUAACACCCGAAGUCGGUGAGGUAACCUUUUGGAGCCAGCCGCCUAAGGUGGGAUAGAUGAUUGGGGUGAAGUCGUAA
rnacentral:rRNA from 1 species